CUGAACACAGAAGCAGAAAACACGCGUGGGAUUUUCUCGAUUAAAGUGAUUCAUUUAAGGAUGAAGCAGAACAGAUGGAGAGACAGAAACUGGUUUGGUGUCUCUGUAAGUGAUGCUCGAGUCUCCAAACACUGAAGAUCGACACCAUAAGCAGAACUUCAACAUGUGAAUGAAUCAUUUCGAUAAAUAUUUGUUCAUGACAGACGCUAGAGAAACUCUGUGAGCUUCAAACACACUCACUAACAAAUAAAGUGCAAUAAAACACA